AUCAUGCAUUCAUAAUGGUAUCAUCAACCACUAUAUUCAUAUAUAGAUUAACAAAUGAUUCUCAGUAUUUCACACCAAGUAUUCAUAUACACAUGAUUAAACCUUGACCGUCAACGGAAUGACUUUGGGAACGAUUGAUAACACUUAGUGUCACGUUAAACCUACCGAGCAAUGUAUAGGGAGGAGCACCUCAUCCUAAGAUCCAAUCAUCUUUAACUCAGAAAACCUAAAACAUGAAUUUAAAAAAAAAAACGUGCAUACAAACUUAGUGAGUGAACAUAGGAGGGAACAAGUAAACAAUAAGGAAGGUUUAAAGAAAAUCAUGAUGCAUUUAUCUUUAUAACAAUGUAAUUUAAUUAGCUAUUAUCAAAGCCCCUCAUGUAAACCCCAAAUGAGUAAAUCACUUGAUAAAAAGGAUCCAUGCUCAACAAAGGAUUUGAAUGGUGAAAACUUUAAUAGCAUUCGUGCAACUCACGUCAAGUAAACGAUGGGUCUUCGCUGCAGUGAGAUUCUGACUAGCAUUACCCCUCCAAAUCCGAGAGUUUCUCGCUGUAGCGAGAAUGAAUCUUGCUACAGCGAGAAACAGAGCACCAUGAAAAAGUUUCCUUUCGUUCAAGAAAAAGCCAUCCUGCUAAAAUGACAAAAAAAUCAACAUGAAACGCAUAAUAAUUUUCAAAGUUCAACAUGCAAGAUUCACAUGUGCAACACCAUAUACCAUACUCAUGAACUUUCUAUAACACACAUAUCUAUAUAUGUAUAUAUAUAUAUAUCCAUCACCAUACACACCCUUCCAUCAUCAUCAGCUCAUAUGCACUCCCACUAGCACAUGGCUGGGUUAGCAUCGGCUUAUGCACACUCCUACUCGCACAUAGCCGGGUCAGCAUCGGCUUAUGCGCACUCCCCCUCGCACAUAGCCAGGUCAGCAUCGGCUUAUGCGCACUCCCCCUCGCAUAUAGCCGAGUCAGCAUUGACUUAUGCACACUCCUACUCGCACAUAGUCGGGUCAAUAUCAUUACACAACAUUAUUCGUAUACUCAUAUACAUAUAUAUAUAUAUCAACACAGUAUACAAGCACAAAAGUUCGUCCUAUUACAAAUUUCACAUUUUCACAACAUCAAAAUAUUUUAUCAAAGGCUUGUUCCCAAGGCACAUGUUUUUAAAGACAAGUUGGAAUAAAUCAUUCAAUGCUUCAUACCAAUACAAUUAUGUCUACCAAAACGAUUUUGAAAUACAAGUUCACUCAUCUGGCAACAACGAGAUAUUAAGUCAUUAUUUGAUCGGAGGUGUCUCUAACUAUUUUCACCAGCCGAUCGUUCGUUAUUUACUCUUGCAUGCCACCACAGUUCUCUAACCUUAUCUUUGCACUUCCUAGCAAUAAUACGAACUCAAUAUAUUUAAUUACAUACGUAUACGGGCAGCACUUCAAUCAAUUAAUCCUUACUCAAAUUUAUAUUUUUCAUCCUAUCAUGAAACCAUCUUCAAUUAACUCACAUCUUAAUAGACUUUUACCAAAAUUACUUAUAUCCAUUGCUUAUGAAAUUCCUUAGAUUAUAUCACCGGUAACUUAUUUAUGAUGUCACUUCCCUACUUCAACCUUUCUAAAUAAUUUUUGCCCAAAUCCAUCUUAUAUUUCCACACAUAAUCCACAUAUAUGGCAGCAACAAUUAUUCUCACUUUCACUCAAUUAUUUCCUAGUUUACACGUAUCGUUAUCUAUCUAACUUUCAAUACUUUGUUUCUCAAUCCUCUAUCCACAAUAUUCCUUUUUUAUUUCUUUCAAACAACAUGCCAUACAAUCUUAACAAUUUUCAACUAGCUUAGGCAAAUAAAUCCUUUCAACAACCAUAAUUCCUCACUAUAUUCAACUAACCGUAGGCUUUAAAACAUAGUGUUAAGCUUACCGUUUUCCUUUUCUACUUUGAGUCCUUCAUGUACCCAUGGGUUUAUUGGCUUACAUGUUACCAAUUUUUCUCCAAUCAAGCCAAUC
rnacentral:lncRNA from 1 species